GGAAAACCAGUUGACAAGAGGAUCAAAGGCAAAUUUCGUACAAAGUUACUAAAAGAAAGAAGAGAAUAAGGAGCGGAAUAACAUCCCUCCAAGCCCAAGCCUGGGCCUGACGGAGGCGUCCCUUAGCCCAGCACGUCCUCAGCCUUGGGGAUCAUGAACCCCUUUGAGAACCAGAAGGGGGAAGGGCCCUUCCCUGGAAACAGACAUGUAUGCACAAGACCCCUAGAAGGGUGCCUUCUCUGGCCGGGCAGUCACAGGCACCCUGGCCCCAUCCAUGGUCCCAGCUGGAGCCUGACUUCCGAAGCCACACCACUCUAACCAGAUGCAAAUCCACUCAACUUUGGAGAAACCACAUAAACAAGAAGGGUAAGAUCCAGAGGGAACACUCCAGCCUGCUGAGACUUCCACUGUCCCAACAACCCUAAAGGUUAUAGAGACAUCCUUGAGACCAUUUUUAAAGUGUGAGUCACAUUGCAGGGAUAGAAUGCUGAAGCCAUCCUACUCAACAAUAGGUGACAGAAGAAACAACACAAGGAGAGAGGAAAUGGGAAAGGCGGCAGGCCCUGCUUCAUCCCAAAUCACCCCUAUCCUCACCUCCAGGGAAGAGAAAGGGGUACAAGACAAAGGAGAUGAUUGAUGGGGCUCCCUACCCAAGCUAAGCUGUUCUCACUUCCACAUCCCUGCUUGUCCCUUCUUCCUACCCUGGCCAGGCAUGUCUAUACAUAUCUCCAAAACUCAAGAAUCCACUGGAUUUCUCUUGCACCAGGCCUAACAUCACUUACAGUUGGAAGCUGUUGAUCCUGUUCCUGAGAAUGAAGAGACACACUGUAGUUCUAUCUUGAGAGAGAUGGCCCUCUUUCGUGAAUCACGACAGGUACAGACGGCAUGUGGCAACAUGGGAAAAGAGAAAAUAGAAUAGCCAAGAAACUGAUACUCAGAAGAUCAUGGAAGAGGGCUCCAGUUCCAUGGUUCCAAAGACCCCCUGAAUAGCCCCAGGACAAUUCAACACCAACAUGAUGAAAACCAACUCAUCCCUCCACCAUGUGGUUUCUCCCAUAGUCCCUGUCUCUGUUGGUGGCACCUUCCAACCCAAGUGCCAAGCUAGAAACAGUGGAGUCAUCUGUAACAUUUUCCUUUGCACUGCCAACCACAUCCUAUCAUCCUCACUGUCUCCAGCCCCAGGAUAUGGCUCUAUCCCUUGAGGUUUCCCGACCUCCAGCCCACAUUCCCCUCAAUUACCCAGCUCAAGUGUGACUCCUGCUUCCUGCAAGACCUACAGAAAGAAAAUCACAGUACAUCCAAUCUUAUAUCCUGCCUUUUUUCUAUUUAACAUAUUUUGAACAAUAUUC
rnacentral:lncRNA from 1 species